AUUUUGCACCUAGCAGCCACAAGUGCCAUCUUGCUCCCUUGCAGCUGGAAUGAAUUCACAAGGAGAAGACUGACGAACUCCCAAGCAGUGGAGAUCAGACAUUUCCCUGCAAAAAGGCAUUAUCUCAGCUUUAAUACAAGAACGAGGUGUAUGGCGUUUCAACCACUUUUCCCUUAAGGAACAGAGUUUAAAUAUAAAGGAGAAGGAACAUGUGCCAGCACGUUUCCUGCCACAGCUUGCUUCCGGCUCCACUCCAGCUCAGCUGCACCGCCAGGAUGGGAAAGAGUGACAUCUCAAAUUGUCCUCCUGAUGAAGGGAGCCUACGCUGAAAAGUGAGGGUGAUUCUUCUGCCAUUUUGCUCUGGUCAGAAAAUGGCAUUUCCAUUCCAUGGGAAGUUCUGACAUUUCCAAGUGUGCUUUGUGCCAGGGGGAAUGAAAAGUUGAAAUUUUACAAUGGAAAUUCUGUUUCGAUA